AUUGAACGCUGGCGGCAUGCCUUACACAUGCAAGUCGAACGGUAACGGGCCUUCGGGUGCCGACGAGUGGCGAACGGGUGAGUAAUACAUCGGAACGUGCCCGAUCGUGGGGGAUAACGAGGCGAAAGCUUUGCUAAUACCGCAUACGAUCUACGGAUGAAAGCAGGGGACCGCAAGGCCUUGCGCGGACGGAGCGGCCGAUGGCAGAUUAGGUAGUUGGUGGGAUAAAAGCUUCCCAAGCCGACGAUCUGUAGCUGGUCUGAGAGGAUGAUCCGCCACACUGGGACUGAGACACGGCCCAGACUCCUACGGGAGGCAGCAGUGGGGAAUGUUGGACAAUGGGCGCAAGCCUGAUCCAGCCAUGCCGCGUGCAGGAUGAAGGCCUUCGGGUUGUAAACUGCUUUUGUACGGAACGAAAAGCAUUCUUUUAAUACAGGAGGGUCAUGACGGUACCGGAAGAAUAAGCACCGGCUAACUACGUG
rnacentral:rRNA from 1 species